AGGCUGUCUCCACCCGAGACUCAGUGAAAUUGAACUCGCUGUGAAGAUGCAGUGUACCCGCGGCAAGACGGAAAGACCCCGUGAACCUUUACUAUAGCUUGACACUGAACACUGGUCCUUGAUGUGUAGGAUAGGUGGGAGGCUUUGAAGUGUGGACGCCAGUCUGCAUGGAGCCAUCCUUGAAAUACCACCCUUUAAUGGCUGGUGUUCUAACGUGGGCCCGUAAUCCGGGUUGCGGACAGUGUCUGGUGGGUAGUUUGACUGGGGCGGUCUCCUCCCAAAGAGUAACGGAGGAGCACGAAGGUUAGCUAAUCCUGGUCGGACAUCAGGAGGUUAGUGCAAAGGCAUAAGCUAGCUUGACUGCGAGAGUGACGGCUCGAGCAGGUGCGAAAGCAGGUCUUAGUGAUCCGGUGGUUCUGAAUGGAAGGGCCAUCGCUCAACGGAUAAAAGGUACUCCGGGGAUAACAGGCUGAUACCGCCCAAGAGUUCAUAUCGACGGCGGUGUUUGGCA
rnacentral:rRNA from 1 species